rnacentral:rRNA from 1 species
UGAGGAAUAUUGGGCAAUGCCCGCAAGGGUGACCCAGCAACGCCGCGUGGAGGAUGAGUGUCGUAAGAUUGUAAACUCCUGUUAGAGGGGAAGAAUCGUACCGGUUGGACCGGUAUAUGACUGUACCCUCAGAGAAAGCCCCGGCUAACUACGUGCCAGCAGCCGCGGUAAUACGUAGGGGGCAAGCGUUGUCCGGAUUUACUGGGUGUAAAGGGCGCGCAGGCGGGAUAAAAAGUCAGUGGUGAAAUCCUACAGCUUAACUGUAGAACUGCCUUUGAUACUUUUAUUCUUGAGUUCGGGAGAGAGAGACGGAAUUCCAGGUGUAGUGGUGAAAUACGUAGAUAUCUGGAAGAACACCAGUUGCGAAGGCGGUCUCUUGGUCCGACACUGACGCUGAGGCGCGAAAGCGUGGGGAGCAAACA